UGAAGUGAUGAUGUAAUUUGCGUCAGAGGAGAGAUUUGGCUACAGUUGCCUGCUGUAAUUAUGCCAUUCUCCUACUGUGACGACACUUAUUUCGUCUGAUCA
rnacentral:snoRNA from 1 species